GCACGAGCAAAGUCUUGGAAUGACAUAGGCUGUUUCAAGGGAAACAGAAGUUUGACAACUGAGAAACAGAAGUUUGACAAUCUAUGGUUGAAGACUGAGAAGAAAUGAAAAAGAGUUACCAUCCAGUUGGAGAAGAGAAAAAGGUUGAAAACAUCACUGGGAUCAUGAGCAGAGCCCAGAACCAUACCUAGACAUUCCAUCCUUGUUCCUGUCACCAAUAUUUUGUUGCUGUUGCUAUAAACAAUUUUUUGUUUGAAAAUGCACAUGAUCUACAAUAUAAUCUUG